GCCAUGGGCUCCAGGCUCCUGUGCUCUGUGGCUCUUUGUCUCCUGGGGGCAGGCCCGGUCGAUUCUGGAGUCACUCAGACCCCAAAAUACCUGAUCAAGUCAAGACAACAGCAGGUGACCCUGAGAUGUUCCCCUGUCUCUGGACAUCGCUCCGUGUCCUGGUACCAACAGCCCCUGGGCCAGGGCCCUCAGUUCCUUGUUCAGUAUUACCGCGGGGAGGAAAGAGCCAAAGGCAACUUCCCAGAUCGAUUCUCCGCACAACAGUUCCGGGACUCUCACUCUGAGAUGAAUGUGAGCUCCUUGGAGCUGAGGGACUCGGCCCUGUACCUCUGUGCCAGCAGCUUGGCACAGCCCUGCUGA